rnacentral:rRNA from 1 species
UACGAAGGGUGCAAGCGUUACUCGGAAUUACUGGGCGUAAAGCGUGCGUAGGUGGUUGUUUAAGUCUGUUGUGAAAGCCCUGGGCUCAACCUGGGAAUUGCAGUGGAUACUGGGCGACUAGAGUGUGGUAGAGGGUAGUGGAAUUCCCGGUGUAGCAGUGAAAUGCGUAGAGAUCGGGAGGAACAUCCAUGGCGAAGGCAGCUACCUGGACCAACACUGACACUGAGGCACGAAAGCGUGGGGAGCAAACAGGAUUAGAUACCCCAGUAGU